AGAGUAAUAAUUUAAUAAAAAUAUUUAAUUUGCAUUUAAAAAUUAUGUAGUUGAUACAUUUAUUUUA
rnacentral:tRNA from 1 species